rnacentral:SRP_RNA from 1 species
UUCUCGUAGUGGCAACGGUUGUUUUGACGUA